rnacentral:rRNA from 1 species
UACAUAGGGUGCAAGCGUUGUCCGGAAUUAUUGGGCGUAAAGAGCUCGUAGGUUGUUUGUUACGUCGGAUGUGAAAACCUGAGGCUCAACCUCAGGCCUGCAUUCGAUACGGGCAAACUAGAGUUUGGUAGGGGAGACUGGAAUUCCUGGUGUAGCGGUGGAAUGCGCAGAUAUCAGGAGGAACACCAAUGGCGAAGGCAGGUCUCUGGGCCAAUACUGACACUGAGGAGCGAAAGCGUGGGGAGCGAACAGG